UAUGCUACCAAAAAAGUAAAAAAGCAAUAUCUCUCUCCUACAUUAACCCUAAUCUCUUAUCUGGCUUCACACAUGUUCCAUUUUUCUCAAGUAGGAUGCUCCAAAAUGUUGCGAACGGACAUCAAUCGAAGGUCGUUUCCCAAGUUUUUGAAGAUUGAUGCUCAUCUUAAUUUAUGUGAGUCACAAAAGAAAGUCAAGGUAACAACAUGCAAGUCAUGAAACUUGAUGGGUGAAUAUGGUAGUUGCUGCCUCAUCACAGUUAAACCACCAGGCAUCUUUGGGGCUUUUAAAAAUCUGCUUGCUUUGUGGCUGUUUGGCGUUUCUCAUUGCCGCAUGUCACUCUGUUUCCCUUCUUUGACUCUUCAAGUUUCUCCUGCAUGUUUUUUAUUACCUUUAUCAUUGCUUCAUCUUUCUCGCUUCUUUUCCAGUAUUCACCGCUGAUGGAACUAGCUGGUGAUUUUAGGUUUAGCGCUUUAUGCUUGCCGGUUAAUUCAGGUUCAAUGCUUCUAUACCAUCAUUGGAAAUUUCGAUUUCCGGAUUGCUAGCCAAGUAAAGAGUAAUGAAAUUAUUUGAUAAUUAGUAAUUGACGAUAGAAUUGGUCUUCCUUUUCCAUGCUUUGUGCUAAACAUGUUGCCUAAACAACCCAGUUAUGGGCUUAUCCAACUUUUUGCUUCUUAUGUUUCUUCUUGGGCUAAUUAGUGAAUUGAAUCAAUAGUUUAUGCAAGAUUAAUUUUUCUUCUACAUAAAAAGUUAAUUGCUUA